rnacentral:rRNA from 1 species
CCUACGGGAGGCAGCAGUGGGGAAUAUUGGGCAAUGGACGCAAGUCUGACCCAGCAACGCCGCGUGAAGGAAGAAGGCUUUCGGGUUGUAAACUUCUUUUAAGCGGGAAGAGCAGAAGACGGUACCCCUUGAAUAAGCCACGGCUAACUACGGGCCAGCAGCUGCGGGAAUACGUAGGUGGCCAGCGUUGUCCGGAUUUACUGGGUGUAAAGGGCGUGCAGCCGGAGAGACAAGUCAGAUGUGAAAUCUGCAGGCUCAACCUGCGAACUGCAUUUGAAACUGUUUCGCUUGAGUAACAGAGAGAGCAUCGGAAUGCCUAGUGUAGCGGUGAAAUGCGUAGAUAUUAGGAAGAACACCAGUGGCGAAGGCGGAUGACUGGACGACAACUGACGGUGAGGCGCGAAAGCGUGGGGAGCGAACAGGAUUAGAUACCCCGGUAGUC